rnacentral:rRNA from 1 species
AACGACCCGCGAACAAGUUUUCUAACUACCUCGGGCGGGGGCCUGCGCGAGAGCGCUCGCCUCCGACCGACGAGCGUCGAGGGGGUAACUCCUCGGCCUCACAACGAACCCCGGCGCGGAAAGCGCCAAGGAAUACAAAACACGAUGGGACGGCGCGUUCGCGCGUCUUCCCACAGUCGAAAACUAAACGACUCUCGGCAACGGAUAUCUCGGCUCUCGCAUCGAUGAAGAACGUAGCGAAAUGCGAUACUUGGUGUGAAUUGCAGAAUCCCGCGAACCAUCGAGUCUUUGAACGCAAGUUGCGCCCGAAGCCUUCGGGCCGAGGGCACGUCUGCCUGGGUGUCACUCAACGUCGCCCCCACCCCACGCGCAGUGGGAGGUGGAGCGUAUGAUGGCCUCCCGUGAGCCACCGCUCGCGGUUGGCCCAAACACGAGUCCUCGGUGCGGGGUUGCGCCACGGCCUGCGGUGGUCGAACGAACGUGAAGCCCUGACGGACACCGUGCGCACGCCCCGACCCUACGUAGGCACUCACGACCCCAACGCGACCUAACCGGUUGCCAACGACGCGACCCCAGGUCAGGCGGGACGACCCGCUGAGUUUAACAUUAAAAACGG